rnacentral:tRNA from 1 species
GGUGAGGUGGCCGAGCGGCUGAAGGCAACGGUUUGCUAAACCGUCAUACGGGGCUAAACCCUGUAUCGAGGGUUCGAAUCCCUCCCUCACCGCCA